UACGUAGGGUGCUAGCGUUGUCCGGAUUUAUUGGGCGUAAAGAGCGUGUAGGCGGCCAGGUAGGUCUGCUGUGAAAACUCGAGGCUUAACCUCGAGACGUCGGCGGAAACCAUCUGGCUAGAGUCCGGAAGAGGAGAGUGGAAUUCCUGGUGUAGCGGUGAAAUUCGUAGAGAUCGGGAGGAACAUCAGUGGCGAAGGCGGCCAUCUGGGACAACACUGACGCUGAAGCACGAAAGCGUGGGGAGCAAACAGG
rnacentral:rRNA from 1 species